AUUGAACGCUGGCGGCAGGCCUAACACAUGCAAGUCGAGCGGGGUUUUCGGACCUAGCGGCGGACGGGUGAGUAAUGCGUAGGAAGCUACCCGAUAGAGGGGGAUACCAGUUGGAAACGACUGUUAAUACCGCAUAAUGUCUACGGACCAAAGUGUGGGACCUUCGGGCCACAUGCUAUCGGAUGCGCCUACGUGGGAUUAGCUAGUUGGUGGGGUAAUGGCUCACCAAGGCGACGAUCCCUAGCUGGUUUGAGAGGAUGAUCAGCCACACUGGAACUGAGACACGGUCCAGACUCCUACGGGAGGCAGCAGUGGGGAAUAUUGGACAAUGGGCGCAAGCCUGAUCCAGCCAUGCCGCGUGUGUGAAGAAGGCCUGG
rnacentral:rRNA from 1 species